CCAGUGGUGGUUCAGUGGUAGAAUUCUCCCCUCCCAUGCCAGAGACCUGGGUUCAAUUCCCAGUCAACGCA
rnacentral:tRNA from 1 species